GGUCACAUGGUGUAAUGGUUAGCACGUCGGAUUUUGAUUCACCCUGGCAACAGGGCAAAAACCGCGGAUCGAAGAAAUUCCUUCCGGAGAUCUGGGUUCGAUUCCCAGUGAGACCU